CGCGUAGGCGGUGGAACAAGUCACAUGUGAAAUACCAGGGCUCAACUCUGGGGGGGUCGAUGUGAAACUAGCUUUACUUUGAGUGCAGUAGAGGGAAGGCGGAAUUCCUGGUGUAGCGGUAAAAUAGCGUAGAGAUCAGGAGGAACACCGGUGGCGAAGGCGGCUUUCUUGGGCGUGUAACUGACGCUGAGGCGCGAAAGCGUGGGGAGGCAAACAGGAUUAGAUACCCUGGUAGUCCACGCGGUAAACGAUGAUUACUAGGUGUAGGGGACGGCAGGUCUUCUGUGCCGGAGCAAACGCAAUAAGUAAUCCGCCUGGGGAGUACGGCCGCAAGGUUGAA
rnacentral:rRNA from 1 species